UACGAGGGGUGCAAACGUUAUUCGGAAUCACUGGGCGUAAAGGGUGCGUAGACGGCAAUAUAAGUCGAUUAUUAAAUUUCCUGGCUUAACUAGGAAUCUGUGAUUGAAACUAUAUAGCUUGAGGAUGGAAGAGAGAAGUGGAAUUCUCGGAGUAGCGGUAAAAUGCGUAGAUCUCGAGAGGAACACCGAUGGCGAAGGCAGCUUCUUGGUCCAUUUCUGACGUUGAGGCACGAAAGCGUGGGGAGCAAACAGG
rnacentral:rRNA from 1 species